UGGGGAAUUUUGCACAAUGGGGGAAACCCUGAUGCAGCGACGCCGCGUGAUUUAGAAGGCCUUCGGGUUGUAAAAAUCUUUUCUAUGGGAAGAAAAUGACAGUACCAUAGGAAUAAGGACCGGCUAAUUACGUGCCAGCAGCCGCGGUAAUACGUAAGGUCCGAGCGUUGUCCGGAAUCAUUGGGCGUAAAGGGUACGUAGGCGGGUAAGCAAGUUAGAAGUGAAAUCCUAUAGCUCAACUAUAGUAAGCUUUUAAAACUGCUCAUCUUGAGGUAUGGAAGAGAAAGUGGAAUUACUAGUGUAGCGGUGAAAUGCGCAGAUAUUAGGAGGAAUACCGGUGGCGAAGGCGGCUUUCUGGCCAUAACCUGACGCUGAGGUACGAAAGCGUGGGUAGCAAACAGG
rnacentral:rRNA from 1 species